GUUCCCUGAAACCUCAGGAGUUAAAAGCUGGUAAAAAUAAUUAGAAACUCUCCAGUUUUGCAGAGCUACUCACCCCUCAUACAGCAUUGCGACUGUGUAGGAAAUUGCCACUACAGCUGUCAGCAAAAGGCCAGCUGGGCUUGCGUGCCUGUUUUGAAAGAGAAGGAAAAGGUCCAUUUUAAGUACUGAAAGACUACAAUAAGGUCUCCCUGGUGAGAACUGAGCAAGAGAACAUCACAUGCGAGAUCCUCAGAGACCUGCAAACUCCUUGUCUUCCCCACGGCUGGCGGUUCAGGUCCAGUGGAUCCUCCUGGUUGGAUGAAUCAGGCUUUACAUCAACAGCCCCAGCCCUGGCUGAGCUUCAGGAGCAUUCAAGCAGCUCUGUUUGGUGGGUAACUCCUGUGCCCAGCCGCCCUGGACAUGUCUCCACAGGCACAGCAUCGCUCCUGGGGGUGAUUUUGGAGGAUGCUGGCGGACAGGGGUAUGACAUGGGGACAGGAGCGGGGCUGCACAGACGCAGGGUGAGGGCGCAUGUUCAGGAGUGCUGAGCUCUAUUUCUGGCAGCAGGAUCUUGGCCAACUCAACACAUUUCUUUGCAACUCCACUUGAAACCAGGAAGGCUUAUUACCUCCCUCUCUUCUUCCUGACGACUCUGCAGGAGCUAAUUGAAUUUGGUUUGUAAAGCACUUGCAAAAGCACAGCCUAAAUGCGGUGUCAAAGCCAAGGCUGUGAUUAUUUCAGCCAGCGGGAGCUGCCCCUUUCCUUCGAUAUUUAUUGUUCCUGUCUCUAUUUUAUUUUUAUGAAUUCCACACAUACUGGCAUGUUUUUAAAGUCAACAAUGCUAAUAGAGUUACUCUCUAAAUGUGAAAGCAGACGCAGCGCAAAAUGCCUUCUGCCAUAAAACGGCAGAUUAAAGAAUCUGUCAACGAACGUCAGGUUUAUUGCGGAGGGAAGAACAAACAAGAUCCUGUCUUCACACAUGCGUGGAGUGGGUGGGGGCUCAGAACAAGGCUGCUGGACCCCUCACACCCACUGUGCCGGUGCCAACGUGCCCGCGGGGUCUGUGCUUGGGGGUCCCUUUUCUGGGAGGCAUUUGGACUGUCAGACUAUCGGCUGUUUUCUAAAAUUUCAGGCUUGACACUGAAGGUGAUGGGACUCAUUGCAUGAUCUUCUCCAUAAUGACAUGGUUAGAUUCAUCAUGCUUUGGUGUCAUAAAGACAAGACCAAAUCUAACAGCUCUGAAGACAAGGACGAGGAAAUUCUUACAGAUUCUGCCCUAGCAAAAGACCCCUGCAAGGAUUAAAUGCACUUUCUGGUUAAUCUGUUGAAUUUUUAGUGCUUACCUAGGAA